AUGAGUUUCUCAUGUUUUAGAGGAUUCUUAAUUUUAGUUUGUGUAGGGAUGUUAGCUUCUCAUUCAUACAUUGCAUGUGGAUUGAGAACCAAAAAUCUUGUGCAAGUUUCUCAUGUCUUAAAGGGUGUUGCAGUGGAGGGUUUGGAAUCAAAGAUGGAUUUGGCACCUUCACCUUCAAUGACAUUUGAUGCUAAUCAAUCAAACAAAAGGACAUUCAAAAAAGGGUCAGAUCCAAUUCACAAUAGGAGUUGA